ACGCUCGACACCUACGGAGGCAGCAGUAGGGAAUCUUCCACAAUGGGCGCAAGCCUGAUGGAGCAACACCGCGUGAGUGAAGAAGGGUUUCGGCUCGUAAAGCUCUGUUGUUGGAGAAGAACGUGCGUGAGAGUAGCUGUUCACGCAGUGACGGUAUCCAACCAGAAAGUCACGGCUAACUACGUGCUAGCAGCCGCGGUAAUCUGAGCGGGCUGGCAAGGC
rnacentral:rRNA from 1 species